GCUGGGGCCCGGGGAGGCCACCAGGGCGGGGCCGGGCGCGGGGCGGCGCUUCUUCGCGCCUCCCGGCCCCGGCCUGGCGUCCGUGGGGCGCUGUGCGUCUCCGAGAACGAAGCGGCCUCCGGGUUCGUGUGCUCCGAGCCCGAGUACUGUUUGCGGCCGUCGUCCCGUCCUGGAGCAGGAGUGAGGAAGCGCCUCUCACUCCCCCGCGAACCCGCAGAACAGGCCGCCGGCGCUAUGGAGACCGGCGGAGCUUCCCGCUCCUUCACCAAGGGGCCCUGACGCGCAGUUGAAAGCGCGGAUUUUGCCGGGCGCGGCGGCUGCGUCCGGAGUCCCAGCGCCUUGGGAGGCGAGGCGGGAGGAUCCCCACGGCCCGGGAGCUCGAGACCAGCCCGGGCAAAUAUUUUGAAAGUCAUGAAGCUCUCAGUGGGCUGUGGAGACGCUGCCGUCUCCUGAACACAUCCAGCGACCACAUGACUAAGCAAAGGCAGCGGAGAGUGGACGGACGGUGAUGGACGCGGCCACGGAGCCCAAGCGCCCACAAUGCGCAUUCCUGUCUUUUCUCUCCCCGCUCACCUCAGAGCGGGACGGAAGGUGGGACUGGGAGAGCUGUUCUCGGGCAGGUGGACGCUGUGGAUUAGCGGAGAGGGAAGGCACUUUCGUUCUCGGCACCGUGAGGCUGUCCUGGUCAAUCCUGUUUUCAUGCUUGAGGGUCUCUGGUGCAGCAGCUCCACCAGCCUUGACACCAGGACUUCUGUGGAAUCCAGGUAAGCAGCCAGGGUCCUGAUAGGGCCAUGCCCUCACCCCCAUGUAAUGCAUCCACUCCCAGUUAAAUGAGAAAGGAACAAUCACAGGAAAACAUGGAGAACAACUCCACUGUUCAGAAGCCAACCCUAUAUUAGCUACUGUUUAGGUAGAAAUGAAAAACUUUGAGACGUAAACUCCUGCAGGUAGAAGUAGAUUUCCGGUGAAUGAACAAAAUGAAGCUUAUUAGAAUCAAUGGCCUCUUCUGAGAGCCGUUCUGAAUUUUUUUUUUUUUGAGACGGAGUCUUGCUAUGUCGCCCAGGCUGGAGUGCAGUGGCGCGAUCUCGG
rnacentral:lncRNA from 10 species